rnacentral:hammerhead_ribozyme from 1 species
AGUCCCAAACAGGACGAAAUGCGCAUCUUGGAU